rnacentral:rRNA from 1 species
GACGAACGCUGGCGGCGUGCUUAACACAUGCCAGUCGAACGGAAAGGCCCUGCUUUUGUGGGGUGCUCGAGUGGCGAACGGGUGAGUAACACGUGAGUAACCUGCCCUUGACUUUGGGAUAACUUCAGGAAACUGGGGCUAAUACCGGAUAGGAGCUCCUGCUGCAUGGUGGGGGUUGGAAAGUUUCGGCGGUUGGGGAUGGACUCGCGGCUUAUCAGCUUGUUGGUGGGGUAGUGGCUUACCAAGGCUUUGACGGGUAGCCGGCCUGGGAGGGUGACCGGCCACAUUGGGACUGAGAUACGGCCCAGACUCCUACGGGAGGCAGCAGUGGGGAAUAUUGCACAAUGGGCGGAAGCCUGAUGCAGCAACGCCGCGUGCGGGAUGACGGCCUUCGGGUUGUAAACCGCUUUCGCCUGUGACGAGGCGUGAGUGACGGUAAUGGGUAAAGAAGCACCGGCUAACUACGUG